CCCAGACUCCUACGGGAGGCAGCAGUGAGGAAUAUUGGUCAAUGGGCGGGAGCCUGAUGGAGCAACGCCGCGUGCAGGAUGAAGGCCUUCGGGUUGUAAACUGCUUUUAUAAGCGAGAAAUAUGAUGGUAACUUAUGAGUAAGGAUCGGCUAACUACGUGCCAGCAGCCGCGGUCAUACGUAGGAUCCGAGCAUUAUCCGGAGUGACUGAGUGUAAAGAGUUGCGUAGGCGGCAUAAUAAGUAGCUAGUGAAAUCUGGUGGCUCAACCAUUCAGACUAUUAGCUAAACUGUUAAGCUCGAGACCGUUAGGGGUAACUGGAAUUUCUAGUGUAGGAGUGAAAUCCGUAGAUAUUAGAAGGAACACCAAUAGCGUAGGCAGGUUGCUGGGACGGUUCUGACACUAAGGCACGAAAGCGUAGGGAGCAAACGGGAUUAGAUACCCUAGUACA
rnacentral:rRNA from 1 species